rnacentral:rRNA from 1 species
GACGAACGCUGGCGGCGUGCUUAACACAUGCAAGUCGAGGGCGGUAGCAAUACCGACCGGCGAACGGGUGCGUAACACGUGAGCGACCUACCGAGGUGUGGGGGAUAGUCGGCCUAACGGCCGGGUAAUACCGCACACGUUCUCUAAUCGGCCUCGCUUGGAGAGGAAACCUUUCGGGCACUUCGAGGGGCUCGCGGCCUAUCAGCUAGUUGGCGAGGGAAUGGCUCACCAAGGCGACGACGGGUAGCUGGUCUGAGAGGAUGGCCAGCCACAUUGGGACUGAGAAACGGCCCAGACUCCUACGGGAGGCAGCAGUGGGGAAUCUUGCGCAAUGGCCGAAAGGCUGACGCAGCGACGCCGCGUGUGGGAUGAAGCCCUUCGGGGUGUAAACCACUGUUGCCCGGGACGAAUAGCGGAUUUUGAUCCGCCUGACGGUACCGGGUGAGGAAGCACCGGCUAACUCCGUGCCAGCAGCCGCAGUAACAC